GACGUAGGGCGCGAGCGUUGUCCGGAUUUAUUGGGCGUAAAGAGCUCGUAGGCGGCUUGUCGCGUCUGCCGUGAAAGUCCGGGGCUCAACUCCGGAUCUGCGGUGGGUACGGGGCAGACUAGAGUGAUGUAGGGGAGACUGGAAUUCCUGGUGUAGCGGUGAAAUGCGCAGAUAUCAGGAGGAACACCGGUGGCGAAGGCGGUUCUCUGGGGCCUUACCUGACGCUGAGGAGCGAAAGCGUGGGGAGCAAACAGG
rnacentral:rRNA from 1 species